ensembl:lncRNA
CUUCCUGUUUGGUUAUGAGCUGCCACCCCAGCAGGACCAGCACUGCAGGAACACCGGUGCAAAAGCUGAAGGAAACAUUUCCUGGAUUACUCUGAAGUUUUCCAGUGGAAAUUCUCACUCUGGUUUCCCCAUCGCCUCGAUCUGCUGAGCCCCAAACCCCCCCCCUCGAGCAGAAGCGCCGUGACCACGGAUAGGGCUGUGCCCUCAAAAUGGGAGGAGAUCUCACUGCUCCUACAGGCAUUUACCCGACUGGCUGGGAGAAUGCUUCUCUGGUUUGUGUGGCCUGGUUCGACAUGACAGAAGAAGAGCCAGGAAGUUUUAUAAAGGCAAAGAAAUUGAGCCUUUGCCCUUCACCUACCGUCAGUGAGGCAUCUCAACAAACAGCCGAGCAUCCAAAGUCUGAAGUCCUACCUGGAAGACGUGAUCUGCAGGGAUUUUCUGGCCCUGGUGGAGGAAGAGGACGGAGCGCCGCUGAAGACGGAGCCUGGAGGAUGUUUCCUGGCCCAGUCUGGGAGAGGAUCAGAUAGUGGGCAGAUAACAAUAGAAAUGAUGACUGAGACGAAACUGCGGCCACUCGCUGGGCAGAGAGAGAGGCUGGCCCCACCGCGGGCAGACGGAGACUGGAGAGGAGGAUCCAAAGCACGAGCAGCUCUGGUGCACGAGCUGAGCCCUGCAGCAAACUCAUGUGGGACCUCUGAGAGCUGAGAACUUCCAGGACUGCUGCAUGAGUGCUUGUACCUUUUCAGCUGGGGUAUGAAGACUCAGCAGCAAAUUCAGACCAUAAAUAUGUCUGGAGAGCGUAAAUAACUGUUACCAUGGCUCUUUCUGCCCACCAUGGUUCUUGCUUUCCUUUCACCAGUACUUUGGGAACUACCCCAUGAGCACUGGGUCCCUUGAGCCCACAUCACAGUGCGUUUCCCUCUAAUCGGAUAGAUGCUGUCCUGUACAAAGGAGCAAUAAAUCAUGGUAACU